CAGCCGCCGCGGGAAUACGGAGGGUGCAAGCGUUAUCCGGAUUUAUUGGGUUUAAAGGGUCCGUAGGCGGACUUAUAAGUCAGUGGUGAAAGCCUGUCGCUUAACGAUAGAACUGCCAUUGAUACUGUAAGUCUUGAGUAUAUUUGAGGUAGCUGGAAUAAGUAGUGUAGCGGUGAAAUGCAUAGAUAUUACUUAGAACACCAAUUGCGAAGGCAGGUUACCAAGAUAUAACUGACGCUGAGGGACGAAAGCGUGGGUAGCGAACAGGAUUAGAUACCCGCGUAGUCCCUGUCUCUUAUAC
rnacentral:rRNA from 1 species